rnacentral:piRNA from 1 species
GCAGAUGAAGUCAGCAGCA